AGGUCCACUUGGAGCUCUUCGCAAUCCUUUGUGGUUCUCACCACCCUACAUAAUUUGGUAUCAUCUGCAAACUUGGCCACCACGCUACCCACCCCUACUUCCACGCUACCCACCCCUACUUCCUCACCAGUACAUCAGCGAGAGAGCAUAUAUCACCUGUGCUCUGGCAGCUGUCGUGGUUGCUGGGAGAAUCCCAAACCAGGUUCAAAGUUUUGCCAAUGACUUUCCAGGCUCUGAGCGGUCUGUGACCAUCAUAUUUGCAGAAGUGCAUUACCCCAUAUUGCCUGUGGAGUCAUCUGAUUAAAAUCUUAUGGUUGUCCCUGGCCGCAGGGAUGUGCAAUUGGUCUCAGUCAGAACCAGGGCUGUUUCUGCCCUGGCUCCAGCCUGGUGGAACUCUUUGUCAGCUGACACCAGGAUGCUGCAGUACCUUAAAUCAGAGUUCGACACCCCUGCCUUAAACAGUUCCACAGGGCCCGUAAGACAGUGAUAUUCCACUGGGUCUUUGGUUAAAGCCACUCCUGUGUCCUGGCAUCAUCCGCCAGCCUUCCCAAAACAAGGCACUUACUUAAUGACUGUCAAUUGCCCCUUUUUUCUGAUUUGGCCCAUGCUGGGAUUAUGUUAGGAGGAUCCAUACCAAGCUGGGCCGGAUUGGUAGAUUGUAGGCUAGAUUUUUCAGCAUCUUGAUUGUAGUGUUUUUAGUCUGUUUUAAUGACGAGUAGGUUGUUGAUAUUAUGUAUCAGUAAGUUGCUUUAACAUGUCUGUGCGCCCCACUGAGCCUGACCUUGGUCGGGGAAGGCGAGAUAUAAAUUUAAUAAAAUAAUUGAAUGAAUACAAA